AUUGAACGCUGGCGGCAUGCCUUACACAUGCAAGUCGAACGGCAGCGGGGGAGAAGCUUGCUUUUCCUGCCGGCGAGUGGCGAACGGGUGAGUAAUACAUCGGAACGUGCCCUGUAGUGGGGGAUAACUAGUCGAAAGAUUAGCUAAUACCGCAUACGACCUGAGGGUGAAAGGGGGGGACCGCAAGGCCUCAUGCUAUAGGAGCGGCCGAUGUCUGAUUAGCUAGUUGGUGGGGUAAUGGCCCAACAAGGGGAAGAUCAGUAGCUGGUCUGAGAGGACGAUCAGCCACACUGGGACUGAGACACGGCCCAGACUCCUACGGGAGGCAGAAGUGGGGAAUUUUGGACAAUGGGCGAAAGCCUGAUCCAGCAAUGCCGCGUGUGUGAAGAAGGCCUUCGGGUUGUAAAGCACUUUUGUCCGGAAAGAAAUGGCUCUGGUUAAUACCUGGGGUCGAUGACGGUACCGGAAGAAUAAGGACCGGCUAACUACGUGCCAGCCGCCGCGGUAA
rnacentral:rRNA from 1 species